UAUUGCGUAAAUCUGAUAAGCGUUAAUCGUUCUUUUUUUGUGUGUUAAAAUUCAAGUACAGUGCAAGAGCCGAUACGGUUAUGUCCGUCAGUUGAUUACAGAUUAUCAAGUAAGGCAUUCGGCCAGAACAGCAUGACACGUUGUAACCUAAAAAUAUUCCUUACUUAAUUGUGUUGAUUUUCUCUUUUUAUUAUUCUUCAAUGAACAAAAAUGGGAAAUGCCCAAGAUGACGAGCAUUGAGAAAUGUAUGUUAUUGUUCACACUAAUAUUAUUUGUACAAACAGUAUCACAGGUUGAAAGUGGAAGGAUGAAGGUCCGCAGAACCGGAAAAACAAGUAAAGCUGAGCUGCACAAACUACUGCGCUUUGUGAUGACACACGACGGCUGUCAACAGUUUACACCACUGAAUAGUCGUAAAAACCCCGCUUUUACGCUAACCAACAAAAACUGCCACAAGUCUUGUGAAAUCGUGAAUGACCUCUACCGGGAACAUCACAAGAAAGAUCCUCGCCUAAUUCUUCGAGGUAGCUGCAAAGUGGGCCUCAAACUCGUCUCCCUCCAGUGUAAAUGUCAACUCGCCCACCACUAUGCUCGUAUCUUCCGGUGGCGAACUCUGCAGUAUUGCACGCGCAAGUAUCUCAACGACACUUUCCUUAAUACGUCAAGCGCUCCCGAGCUUGAUUCGUUCACAAAGACGCCAAGAAAGGAGUUAUCUGCUAGGACCCCGCCGACCGACGGAGAAUCCACUAUCAAGAAAGAAACGGAGAACUCCUUCCAUGCGUCAUCUACGAGCAAAGCGACCACAGUUAGGUUGGCAAUGGACAUAAACGCCAUGGCGAAUAUGACGGGUCAGGUGGACAUGACAACACGAAGAACUAUCAUUCGGAAGAAGAAAAAGCCAAACAAACCAUGGAGGAAAUAUGGCUAGCUAUAUUAUGUGAACUAGUUUCCCGUCGUAUAUAAAUGACGUCGCACAUAUAAGAUAUAGGAUAAAAGUUAAGGAGGUAUCUAACGAGAGGGGAGGAGGGAGAUCAAAUUAAACAUAAGGUAAGGAUGAAAACGCCUGAUAAUUGAAAAUUUGGAUUAGUAAUUUUAGAUCACAGUCAAAAAGACAAUGCAUCUUCGAGCAUGGCUAAACCUUGGCUAAAUUAGAAAUGUAUUUGAAAUGCGUGAAACUGUAUUGCAUAAAUGGUAAAAUAAUUCACUAUUUUUGACAUUCACUUUAAAAAAUUAUACUUAAUUAUCUUGCAUCCGUUAUUUAUAUAGAUAUUUAAGUAAGGUUUGUGCAUUUAUUUAGCAACAUAUUCAUUCGUAGAUUUCUCAAACGCAGUGUUAAACUGCCUUGGAGACUCUCUCGGUCAAUAAUUGUUCUUAAAGAAGAAGACACAAGGAAAGGAAUAGUGUCAAAAUUAUUUGUAAAAAAAAUACAUUAGAAUUACUGUCCCGUAAUACAUGUGAAAUAUUCGGCCUAUGUAAAGAGGCUUUUGAGGGUGCAUUCUAAAAAAGAAAGUAGUAUGGUAAGGGUAAAAUGCGCGUUUACUUUAGAGCGGAGCCGCAGCAAUACUAUGGUCAUUCAGACAUACUAAGUAUAAAGAAAAAAGGAAAAACCAAUAGAAAGAGUACGUGAAGUGUUACAAGAGAGUGCUACUAUAAAAAUUCUCAAGGUGUUAAUGGGCAUUAUUUGUGCAAUCACUCCUUCUGUAUGUUUUGAAGUCCACUCAGCAGAAUGAAGGCGCACUUUACCACUUCAGAUUCCAUGCUAUGCUUUCCUACCCGCAUGAUACGUGAUCCAUGUCCAUGUAUUUGAGGAUAUGGACCAGCGAGUACAUUGUAUACUGUAUUGCCCUGUGAGAUGAAUGAUAUUGAAACAUUUUGUACAUUAAAUCAGAGCUUAUCUGUACUUUUAUUUUUUUCUCUUUAAUUGAUUUUUUUUUAAUCAUGAACUUUUUUCUUCACAUCUUACUCAAAACUCGCAAUUAAAAUAAGAUGUAAAGAGACUUUUACUGUACUAGUAUAUCACCCAUUGGCAGCUUUUUACAAUUUUUACUUAGCAAAUAAAGACAUUUUCAGAAAAAGAGCACGUGAACACACCAAACAAAUCAAACAUACCAAACAAAAAGAACACAUAAAACACACCAAACAUGACAUUAACAUAGAUUUAUGUUUUUUAUAGGAUCACUCUUGCUUCAAACUUUUUAAUAACAUACCUACUAUUCAUUACUUCACAAAACGAAGUAUAAAAUAUCUCCGAGCAUCUGUCAUUAUGGGAUUACUUUUUCCAAUGUGACCUUAAACCACACUGAGAAAGUGUUACGGCUUAUACACCAAUUAGUGGUCCAUAUGGAACUCCACUAAUAGUAGUAAAGGAAUAUAUAAUAAUAUCACAUAUACCUUUGUUAUGAUGUAUGUAUCUAUGUAGUAUAGUAGGAGAUACCUCAGUAUGGUUCACAGACCGAUAAUUAUUAGUUCAUUUACUACUGUUAGUGGUGUUCUAUAUGAACCACUAAUUGGUUUAUAGCCAUACAUUUUUCUCCGUGCAGGCCAUGAAUAAAGCACUACGUUUACGUCUUCUGUUUCAGACGAAUACAAUUAAUCCAAAAACUCAUUGGGAACAGUAUCAUGGCUAGCCUCGCAAAACUCAUCGCUAGCUUCGCAAAACUCAUCGCUGCAGAAAAGAG
rnacentral:lncRNA from 1 species